rnacentral:sRNA from 1 species
AAAGGAUAAAAAUUGAACUAAGAAUUGUAGAGCUUUACCCGGAAGGGAGCUCUUCCAGAAAUUCUCGAAGGCCCAAGACAAGCUUAGGCCUAGGAGGGGGUUUGGAAAUAGUUUUCAACCAGCAAUAGACGCGCCUCGGUUAAGACCUCAUUAGCUGCGUCAUUGCCCCAAGCGCAAAGAUGACUUUCUACAGAGUGAGAGCCU